UACGAAGGGUGCAAGCGUUAAUCGGAAUUACUGGGCGUAAAGGGUGCGUAGGCGGUUCGUUAAGUCUGUCGUGAAAUCCCCGGGCUCAACCUGGGAAUGGCGAUGGAAACUGGCGAGCUAGAGUGUGUCAGAGGAUGGUGGAAUUCCCGGUGUAGCGGUGAAAUGCGUAGAGAUCGGGAGGAACAUCAGUGGCGAAGGCGGCCAUCUGGGACAACACUGACGCUGAAGCACGAAAGCGUGGGGAGCGAACAGG
rnacentral:rRNA from 1 species